CUUCUAACCUAUUUGACUUACAGAUUAUAACAUAUCUGAUCACUUUAAGCUGUUGUAUGUUGGAGGAACCUGAGAGUAUUCCUGCUAGGUCUGAAAAGAGGGGAUUUACUAAUAACCUGCAAGGAGAUUAUUUAGCAAUUACAUACACAUGAAACGAUCUACCAUGGUAUCUUCUUUAUCUGAAUUUUUAAGGCAAAUACCUUACAUUAAGAUUGAAGAUGUACUGAAAUUGGUACUGGUUGGUUACGUACAUGCAGUUUCAACAUGCUCUCAUUUAUUCAAUUUAUCAGACUAAAUUUUUUUAAUGUAGCUCAUGGCAUGAGGGCGCUCUGUUUCCUUCCGUACACAUAGGCCUCAAAGUUUUCUUAUUUUGUGAUGAAAAAAGUCAGGCAUUGACAAUAUUAUGUUAGUGGUAAGGAAAGUAAACUGGCAACCAAGAGUGAUACGAUUGAUGUGAAAAAGUUGGUAUGAAAAUUUGUUAUUAUAUUUCCUCCCCGCCUCUUAAUUGUACAUAAAAUAAAAAAAAUGUAUCCAUUUUGCUUUGUGUCUAUUUCUUUUAGGGAACCUCUAAGGUGUUUCCCCUCAACCCAUAUUAUGUACUCCUAUGGUUUACAGUACAUGUGUAAUUACCUUCGAUGAAGAUAAAUUAGCCAUUUGUGAUCUUAGCUGACUAAGAAUCAUGUGAUCACUGUGCUCCACUAAUAUUUAUUCUUAUUGCACUUCCUAUCUUUUAUUUUAUGUUGUUAUUAUGUUUAUUUUGAUUUCUCUAUUUCCAGGUGCCUUCUAUUCCCGUGUCUUCUAUUCCUGGCAAAGGUUAAUGCUUCGCUAGAGAGAUUAGUUGUCAGGAUGUCCUUGCGGGCCUUCAACAUUAGUUAAAGCCUAUCGAUUUCCAGAGACAUUUUUUUCCUUUUCGUCAGCUAAUGUUCUUCUUAACUAGGAUUGCCUUUCUUCAAAUCUCAAGAUCUGUUUGCAGUAGUCUAAAGUAUUUUUAAGGUUAUUCUCAUCAUUUAAUAAAAAAAUCCAUUACAAAAAUUGCCAUGAUAUAAAAAGUAGCUUCGAAUUUAGAAUUUGCAUAAUCUUUUAAAUUAUUUGAUAUCAGUAAUCAGUAGUUUAGUCCUCCAAGUUCUGUCCAGCAAUUGGGCAAGCUAUUUUGGUAAAAGCUGCAGAUUCAAUUAGUCUUCUUUGUUGCCUUUAAAUUUUACACAAAAUGUUUGUGUUCCAUUUUGCAGAUUUGCUCAUGGGUUGACAAACUGAGAUAGAGGUAUAUGAUCUAUAAUGUUGCAUUCCUGCUUUGGAUUUCUUUGCCAAGCAGUGAUACUAAGAAUUUCAAACUGACCAUGGACUCUGUGAUAGCCUUGGGUUUUAUUAUUAUGCCCAGUUACAAGGCCAUAUGAAAAUGCUGAAAUUCAGUUUGAAAAGCCGUGAAAAUGUCAAGCUGUAUUUGUUUUUUUUUGUAGACUAAAACCUCUAGCCAUGAACUUGGUUAGAUGGGGCUCAACACAAAUGAAGUGUGACCUUUGGUGCCAUGUGGUGAGGGAAGGAUCCAACAUCCAAUGCCGUCAUUUAACUUUUCUCUCUUCUAACAUGCUUCUUCCUUGGGUUUCAUUGAAUAAUCACCUACACCUGGAUCUGUUGUCUGGUAAGAAUCUUUUGCCGAUUUGGGAUUUUAGCUACAUUGUAAAAAGUACAAAAGAGUGAUUUUUUUCUGAAAUAUUGUUCUCACCCUUCAAUAAACAAAAUCCAUUGUAAAAAUUCCCUUAUACAAAGAGGUAGCUUUGAAUUUGCACAAUCUGUUAGAUUAUUCAAUCAAUGCCAAUAAUUAGCUUAGUCAUUCAUUUCUGUUCAGUAAUAUACCAGGCUAUUUUUGUAAAAGCUGCAAUUCAAUUAGCAUUUUUGGUCGUCUUCAAAUUUUACACAAAUCCCGUGUUCUAUUUUGCAGAUUUCCUCAUACUUUAGCCAACUGAGCUAGAGAAUUUCAAAAUCCCUAUGGACUCUGCGAUACCUUCAUUGUUUCUUAUCGUGUCCAGUUAGCAAGCAUUUGAAAAUGAUCAGUUUGCAGUUUUAUAUUACUCCCUGGGAAUCUUAAGCUGUAUUUUGUUUUCCGUUUUGGCUAGACUUCUGUCCAUGAACUGGUUAGCUGGGGCUCAACACAAGAUAAGUAUGACCUUUGGUGCCAUAUUAGGGGUGAUGGAAGGAGCCAGUUCCGUAGAUUUCUAUCUUUUAGCAUAGUACUUCCUUCGGUUUCACUAAACAGUUACCUAUGCCUGAAUCUUUUGUCUUGGAGAACUAUGCCUGGAUCACUCACAUGAUCAACAACAUACUACAUGUACAAUCUUCAAUUACCCUUUCUUAUGGACAUUCAGCUACAUAGGGCCAUUCUAAUAAAUAACAAUUUGUGUUCUUUGCUAAGAUACACAAGUAUCGUGUUGUAUGAUGAUGAUGUUGCUCCUC